rnacentral:lncRNA from 1 species
UUUUGCUGGUUAUUAUUGUUGUUGUUGUUGUUGGUUCUUUGUUGCGGUUGUUGUUGAUGUGGUUGUUGUUGAAUCGGAACUAAUUGAGUGUUGGAAUUGUUGGAAAAUACAAGAAUCACUAAUGACACUUGAUGUUAAUGUUGACGAGGUUGAGAACUCUUUCUAACAUGAGGCCUCCUCUACCUCCCCACAAUUAUUGAAUUAGUUUCCCCUUCCUUCCUCUUGGAGAAACUACCCCCAUAUUUCUUGCUAGACGAUGCUUCUUCUCUAGACAGAUGUCCU